rnacentral:rRNA from 1 species
GUGGGUAGUUUGACUGGGGCGGUCUCCUCCCAAAGAGUAACGGAGGAGCACGAAGGUUAGCUAAUCCUGGUCGGACAUCAGGAGGUUAGUGCAAUGGCAUAAGCUAGCUUGACUGCGAGCGUGACGGCGCGAGCAGGUGCGAAAGCAGGUCAUAGUGAUCCGGUGGUUCUGAAUGGAAGGGCCAUCGCUCAACGGAUAAAAGGUACUCCGGGGAUAACAGGCUGAUACCGCCCAAGAGUUCAUAUCGACGGCGGUGUUUGGCACCUCGAUGUCGGCUCAUCACAUCCUGGGGCUGAAGUAGGUCCCAAGGGUAUGGCUGUUCGCCAUUUAAAGUGGUACGCGAGCUGGGUUUAGAACGUCGUGAGACAGUUCGGUCCCUAUCUGCCGUGGGCGCUGGAGAAUUGAGGGGGGCUGCUCCUAGUACGAGAGGACCGGAGUGGACGCAUCACUGGUGUUCGGGUUGUCAUGCCAAUGGCAUUGCCCGGUAGCUAAAUGCGGAAGAGAUAAGUGCUGAAAGCAUCUAAGC